GCGUGAGUGAUGAAGGCCCUAGGGUUGUAAAGCUCUUUCGACGGGGAUGAUAAUGACAGUACCCGUAGAAGAAGCCACGGCUAAAUUCGUGCCAGCAGCCGCGGUAAUACGAAUGUGGCAAGCGUUGUUCGGAAUCACUGGGCGUAAAGAAUGCGUAGGCGGCUUAGCAAGUCAGGAGUGAAAUCCCGGGGCUUAACCUCGGAACUGCUUUUGAAACUGCUUUGCUAGAGUCCCGGAGGGGUUAGCGGAAUUCCGAGUGUAGAGGUGAAAUUCGC
rnacentral:rRNA from 1 species